GAAUUUUAUAUAAGUUUUAAUGGGAAGGAAUAAUAGAUUAUAUAAUAUUGAGACUUAUAUUUAGUUGGGAGGAUUGUUAAAUUUUAAAAACUUUAAUAAGAAUAAUUAAACAUUAAUUUAUGAUUGGGGUAACUAAAUGAUUAAAAUUAUUAAAAAUUUUAUAGAAGAAUUAAUUACCUUAAGGAUAACAGCGUAAUAUUUUUAUAAAGAUCUUAUUGAUAAAAAUGGUUGC
rnacentral:rRNA from 1 species